rnacentral:rRNA from 1 species
GAUGAACGCUGGCGGCGUGCCUAAUACAUGCAAGUCGAGCGAACAGAUGAGGAGCUUGCUCCUCUGACGUUAGCGGCGGACGGGUGAGUAACACGUGGAUAACCUACCUAUAAGACUGGGAUAACUUCGGGAAACCGGAUCUAAUACCGGAUAAUAUAUUGAACCGCAUGGUUCAAUAGUGAAAGACGGUUUUGCUGUCACUUAUAGAUGGAUCCGCGCCGCAUUAGCUAGUUGGUAAGGUAACGGCUUACCAAGGCAACGAUGCGUAGCCGACCUGAGAGGGUGAUCGGCCACACUGGAACUGAGACACGGUCCAGACUCCUACGGGAGGCAGCAGUAGGGAAUCUUCCGCAAUGGGCGAAAGCUUGACGGAGCAACGCCGCGUGAGUGAUGAAGGUCUUCGGAUCGUAAAACUCUGUUAUUAGGGAAGAAAAAAUGUGUAAGUAACUAUGCACGUCUUGACGGUACCUAAUCAGAAAGCCACGGCUAACUACGUG